AGCAGGCGCGUAAAUUACCCAAUCCUAAUUCAGGGAGGUAGUGACAAGAAAUAACAACUCGGACCUCGUAUGAGGUUGCGAGAUUGCAAUGAGAACAAUUUAAACCACUUAUCGAGUAACAAUUGGAGGGCAAGUCUGGUGCCAGCAGCCGCGGUAAUUCCAGCUCCAAUAGCGUAUAUUAAAGUUGUUGCAGUUAAAAAGCUCGUAGUUGAAUUUCUGGCCGGCGCUGUUCUCGGCUCUCGCAGUCGGUUCAGGGCUUGGUCAUCCGUAUGGGAAGCUAGCUCGGCCUUCACUGGUCGGUUAGUGGAUCAUACACUUUACUUUGAAAAAAUUAGAGUGUUUCAGGCAGGCAAUUGCUUGGAUACUGCAGCAUGGAAUAAUGGAAUAGGACUUUGACCUAUUUGUUGGUUUCUUCGAGGUCAAAGUAAUGAUUAAUAGGGACAGUUGGGGGCAUUCGUAUUUAAUUGUCAGAGGUGAAAUUCUUGGAUUUAUUAAAGACGAACUUAUGCG
rnacentral:rRNA from 1 species